CGUUGGCGGCGUGCUUAACACAUGCAAGUCAAUGGGAAAGGUUGUCUUCGGACGGCCGAGUAUACUGGCGAACGGGUGAGUAACGCGUAGGUAACUUGCCUAUCAGUCUGGGAUAACACUGCUAACGCGGUGCUAAUACCGGGUAUACUGCAUAGAUCGCAUGUUUUUUGCAGGAAAGCGGGCCUCUGGAACAAGCUCGUGCUGAUAGAUAGACCUGCGUUCCAUUAGUUAGUUGGUAGGGUAACGGCCUACCAAGGCAGCGAUGGGUAGCCGGCCUGAGAGGGUGACCGGCCACACUGGGACUGAGAUACGGCCCAGACUCCUACGGGAGGCAGCAGUGAGGAAUAUUGCGCAAUGAACGAAAGUCUGACGCAGCAACGCCGCGUGAGGGAUGAAGCUUUUCGGAGUGUAAACCUCUGUUAGGAGGGAAGAACGUCUAUUAUUCGAACAGGGUGAUAGAGUGACGGUACCUCCAGAGAAAGCCCCGGCUAACUCCGUGCCAGCAGCCGCGGUAAUACGGGGGGGGCGAACGUUGUCCGGAAUUAUUGGGCGUAAAGGGCGCGUAGGCGGGAAGGUCAGUCAGAGGUGAAAGCUUGUGGCUUAACUGCAAGUUUGCCUUUGAUACUGCCAUUCUUGAGUUCGGAAGAGGGAAGUGGAAUUCCUGGUGUAGCGGUGAAAUGCGUAGAUAUCAGGAAGAACACCAGUGGCGAAGGCGGCUUCCUGGUCCGAUACUGACGCUGAUGCGCGAAAGCGUGGGGAGCAAACAGGAUUAGAUACCCUGGUAGUCCACGCUGUAAACGAUGGGUACUAGGUGCUGGGUUUAAUUACUCAGCGCCGGAGCUAACGCAUUAAGUACCCCGCCUGGGGAGUACGAUCGCAAGAUUGAAACUCAAAGGAAUUGACGGGGGCCCGCACAAGCGGUGGAGCAUGUGGUUUAAUUCGAUGCAACGCGAAGAACCUUACCUGGGCUUGAACUGUAGGUGACGUAUCCUGAAAGGGAUAUUCUC
rnacentral:rRNA from 1 species